UUGACGAUAUCACAAGCAAAGUAUUAUUUAUUACCCGCUUUUUAUAGCUGCCAAGACACAAUUUUAUUGCUGCGCUUGAGUGCAGUGCGCGGUUGCACCUACCUCCGGCUGCGGGGCUUAUUCAUGCCUAAUGGGUGAAUAAUUUGUGUUUAAUUUUUAUUAACCUGGAUUAAGGUGACUUGCUUUAGAUAGUGCCGGCAAUAAAUGUACUUAUUAUAGUUUGCAAAAAAGAGAGGUGGUGUAUUGUAAAGAUAUACAAGGUGGCAACUCAGGAAACCUCAGCCGAAAGUCAUCGUAUUUUAGUGUCAGUUUAGGAUGGACAUUCUUAGACUCAACGAACAUGGCAAAACUAGUUUCACGCUUUGAAAAUGGUGAUUUUGACUAGCAAAAGGAAGAGCAAAAGGAAUCUAAAAACAAGAAGAACUUGCAGAAUCUUUAGUAGUGUGGAGUGAAAGGAGUGGAGUGAGUCCACAAAAUGCUAGUAUAGGGGGUAAUCGUAUAUCUUCAGGUUGGUAAUACUUUGAAUAUAACUUGUACAAAUUUUUGUUAAAUAAACUUUCAAUAUAAAAAAAAAUCGCAUAAAUAUAUGUAGUUAUAGACCCAAAUGAA